rnacentral:rRNA from 1 species
GACGAACGCUGGCGGCAUGCCUAACACAUGCAAGUCGAACGGAACUUGUUGAAUGAAGUUUUCGGAUGGAUUUUGAUAAGUUUAGUGGCGGACGGGUGAGUAACGCGUGAGCAACCUGCCUUUCAGAGGGGGACAACAGUUGGAAACGACUGCUAAUACCGCAUAACGUAUCGAAGAGGCAUCUCUUUGAUACCAAAGAUUAUAUCGCUGAAAGAUGGGCUCGCGUACGAUUAGAUAGUUGGUGAGGUAACGGCUCACCAAGUCGACGAUGCAUAGGGGUUCUGAGAGGAAGGUCCCCCACACUGGUACUGAGACACGGACCAGACUCCUACGGGAGGCAGCAGUGAGGAAUAUUGGGUCAAUGGUCGAGAGACUGAACCAGCCAAGUCGCGUGAGGGAAGACUGCCCUAUGGGUUGUAAACCUCUUUAGUCGGGGAGCAAAAAAGCGGACGUGUCCGCCAUUGAGCGUACCCGAAGAUAAGCAUCGGCUAACUCCGUG